CAGGACGAUCUUUCGCGUAUAGCGGCAAGUUUCCAAUUAACUUUUCAGAAAGCCUUGAAUAUUUAAGGAAUGGCCUUAUCUAGUUUCCAGUAGCAAAUUUUGACUAGUAUUGGAGGUGUUAUGCGUCGGGAUCGUUUUAC
rnacentral:ncRNA from 1 species